rnacentral:rRNA from 1 species
AUUGAACGCUGGCGGAAUGCUUUACACAUGCAAGUCGAACGGCAGCACGGACUUCGGUCUGGUGGCGAGUGGCGAACGGGUGAGUAAUGUAUCGGAACGUGCCCAGUCGUGGGGGAUAACGUAGUGAAAAUUACGCUAAUACCGCAUACGAUCUAUGGAUGAAAGCGGGGGAUCGCAAGACCUCGCGCGAUUGGAGCGGCCGAUAUCAGAUUAGGUAGUUGGUGGGGUAAAGGCCCACCAAGCCAACGAUCUGUAGCUGGUCUGAGAGGACGACCAGCCACACGGGAGCGGAGACACGGUCCAGACUCCUACGGGAGGCAGCAGUGGGGAAUUUUGGACAAUGGGCGAAAGCCUGAUCCAGCCAUUCCGCGUGCAGGAUGAAGGCCCUCGGGUUGUAAACUGCUUUUGUACAGAACGAAAAGGUUUCUACUAAUACUAGGAGCUCAUGACGGUACUGUAAGAAUAAGCACCGGCUAACUACGUGCCAGCAGCAGCCGCAG